GCUGGGAUACCCGCGGUUCAAGUUUGAAUCGGGUUGCUGCGUGUUUAGCCACCGCGCCGCAGGAGGCAGCGGGACGGCUGAGAAAAGCAGCUCGGGACCAGGUGCCCUGCCCCCGCCGGCACCCGCCUCGACUUAACACCCCUCCCACCCCCCCGGUGCUGCCCACACGGCCGCACUGGGCCCAGCCCACUGCGAGAGAAUGCAAUAAAGUUUCUUAAACUCCCACGAGGCCUCCUGGCCUGGCUCCUUGCCGGCGGGGCCCCGACAGUUCGGUGCUGGAACCCAGGAUGCACAGCAGCCCGUAGGGACCCCCACCCCCGGCUGCGGGCUCCUCCCGACCACACCGGCCACUCCAGUUUCCGGUUGAAGUGAGCCCCUGCACCCCAGGCUCCACCAGUCCGUUUGUAUUGAGUGUCAGCCUCAGACCAGCUCGCCUCAAGUUCACAAAAAUUCCUAAGGAACUGUAAGUCCCGGACCUUUACCUAAUCCCCUAUAAGCCAGGCUCCCCCAUUGCCCCUCACUGCUGUCUAUACUCGUCCCUGCCUCACUGCACCUCAUAGCAGCUGUUCCUCUCCCUCUCAGCAUCCACUCCCCACCCCCACGGAAUCGUGCCCCUUGUCUUUCCUGUGGGACACGUUCCUCCCAGAGAAUUUCCUUGACUGUUCCUGGGAACAGAUUACAACCCGGUUAAACCUGGCCCUUUGAUUGAUAAGAUCUCCCCUCUUCUAGUGCCUGGUCUUCCUGCGGGUCAUCCUUAUCAUUCUUUAUCUUCUGAUGUACCAUUACCUUAUGUCACGUGGUUGGAACUACGCUUAACACUGUUAGGGUUGUACAAUGAUCUCCCUAGUCCUUCUCCCCUUAUUCUGUACACUGAUUUACCCCAUACCUCUAAAAAAUCUCCUAAGUCGUCACUAUCUCUCUCGAACCCUAGACCUAACACAUCACCUCCUCAUCAGAACCUGUUUUCCCCUCUUUCAGCUAGCUACACCGCAAUCCCAGCCUCCCUACAUACAUGGGCCAACUCCAGUCUAUCCAUCCACUACAAGGUACAUGGAGGACUCCCAUUCCAAUUCAUGCACCUUGAUGAAAUUUAUACUUCAAAAUCACAGAAAUGACUAAAGGAACACGCACAGGCAGGGCCGUACAGUUACUCCAGUCAUACUUAAACAACAUAACUGAGCACUCCUCCAACAAAGUCCCCAUCUUAAGACCAGUAACAACCAACACCAUCAUAGUAUCUCAGGCCCCUCUCUGCAUCAACAGGACACACCUUGCAGGAAAGGUUUUAGGAUAUCUUGAUCAACGCCUAUGCUACUUUACUCUUGAAAUUCAGCCCUCUUUCAAGCGUUGGGCAAGUUAUAUAGUUACCCAAACAGCCUACUUCUCAAAGCCUGUUCAAUUCUCAGCCUGGCCUACCAUCUCAGCAACCUUCCCAACAACUGACACUUCCCAGUUCUGUUCAGGUCGACCUCUUUCCUGCAUUAACUACUUCCCCUGGCAGGAUUGCAAAUCACAAUUACGUUCUAACUUCCGCCAAAUCCCAUCCCAUGGCCUCACACACUCCAAAUUUUGGGUAGACACUGACAGAAAAUAUAUUUUUUUUGAGAAUACCACCACAGGGGCUACACAGGUCAAUCCUGAAGGCCUUUUUCAGCUCCUUACGGGGGCAACCUUAGCUGGAACUCUUUCUGUUUGGGAAAAUGAAAACAACAAGCUCACUCACCUCUUCACCAUUGAAAAAACCUUCUGCUUAAAAAAUCAAGGAAUCUUGUUACUGUGUGGUACCAGUACCUACCUCUGUCUCCCAGCCAACUGGACUGGGACCUGUACCCUAGUCUAUCACCCCUGAGAGAGACAUUGCCCCUAAUAACCAGACCUUUAAACUUCUCACUGCUUACUCUGGGACCAGCAAGGACAAACUAGAUGAGAGGGCCACAAAACUCUGACAGCUCUCAGAAUCCUGGGGCACCUGGCCACAGAAUCUAAAUUGGACCUCUUGGCUUCUGCCUUUAGUUGGAUCCCUCUUAAUGUUCUUUCUGGCACGGAUCUUUGGCUCAUGCAUCCUAAGAGCCAUUUCUUCCUCCCUCCAAAACUACAUCCAGGCUAUCACUAAGAUCCAUAGGGGAAAUAAUGCUUCUCCAGCCCUACACUAAAUAUCAUCCCCUCCCUCAGUCCCUAACUAGGUAGGAACAGCUCUAUGCCCCACCUGAGCAGGAAGAAGCUACAGAAGAAUGAGAUCAACCUCCCUCGUCAGCCCCAGUUCACAGAAGGAAAAUAAAAGGUAGCAUGCUAGGCAUAUUCUGAAUCAUUCCCCUGCACUCAGUUCUUUUCCAUUAUACCCCACUUGCAUCUCCUGCUCUCUGCGGUUUUCCUGUUAUUAUUUCAGGUGUCACAGAGAAAGGUGACCGGCUGAGAAAAUCGGCUUUAGACCUGACUUCCUGCACCUGCAUCUGGUUCCUGGGGACCUUCACAAGACACAAAUAUCCCACCCUCCCUACUCUUGCUUGCUGACAGGGAUAUACUGGUCUCAGCCCACUGUGAGAGAAUGUAAUAAAAUUUCUUAAACUCUUAA